AAAAAUCGAGUCGAGCUUAUUUCCAGCUUCGAGACGAAAGUUUAUCGUACUUCUCCUCCUCGAACGAGGAAAACGAAACGAAAAUCCAAUGGGGAGUACUGGAACAAGGAAAAAUCGAGAGAUAUCAUUAAAUAUUAUGAUUUAACAAAUACCAGACGAUAGAGGUAUUAAAACUUAUUUGUGCCUAUUUGAAAGAUAUUUUUAGUAAUAAUUGUUGCUAACAAUUGCUCGUAAGAGGAAAACGAUGCGACAGUUUUUGAUUCGGGAAGUUUCGGGUAAUAUCGAGCAGUAUCGAGUAGGAUCGAGCAAGAUCGAGCAACUUCGGAUAACUUCGGGCAACAUCGGCCGAUGCAAUAGCUCCAGUCCCUAAAGCUAUCUGCUACUUUCGCUGCUCGUAACUUUGUUCUCGAUAUUUGUUUGUAGAAAAUUGUUGAAAAGCCUAAAGAGCUCUACUUCUGCAGUUUCUUCACUCUUAACUUGGCUCUCAGCAUUAUUCGUGGGUAAUAAAAGUAUGGCCUAAAGUUUUUAGAUAUUUCCAUUUCGUUAACCUUGUGGAAGCAUACCUUUGUUCUCAGCAUUACAAGUAAUUGUACUAGUCUAAAAUUUCAAACUUUUACUUUCUGCUAAUUUUCUUGUCCCAAUUUUGCUUUUAAUACUAUUCAAAACCAUAAGCUUAGAAAGGUUUAAAGAACAAAUAUUUGUUCCAUUAGUUUUAUUGUAUUAUUUUCAUCUUCGGCGUUGCAACACUGAACGUUUAUAAAAUGACAGAUUGAACAACACUGUUUUAGAAUUCGUCAAUGGAUAGAGAUUUUGGCUAAUGAUUUCGAUUUUCUUUCUAUUCGAGAUUUAAUAUUUUUUCCAAAAUUUCUCAAUCGAUAAGGGAAUUCUUUCUACCCUUCUUUCUUUUCUGCAAAAUACAAGAUAAACAUUCGAGGAAUGAAAAAUUCGUAUCGUUUGGGAAAGAGUUUUAAGUUUGGCAGAAAGUCAAAAGCAUUGGCGAGCAACAAUCUCGUUGCUUGAUGGUUUAUCCAACCGGACUCGCAUAAACCCAUAUAAAUACGUGGCAUCACGUUUCGAAUGGAAUGGCCGCCGGCCAAUAAUUAAUUCAGGAUCGCACAUUGAUCGUUUAAUCUGUAACGCAAUCCUCCUUUGUCUCGCCAAUUUUCCAAAGCAAUCUCUACGUGAAAACAAAGGGUUGUAAGUGGAUCGAAUUAGUUCUCUAUUCUAUUUAAUGUUUGUUUUUAAUUUUUUAAUUUUAUUUUUCCAAUAUUUUUUUUACAGGAGUUAUUAAAGUUUAAAUUUUAAUUUCUUAUGAUAAGAGAUGAAAUAUUUGAUUUAUUUCUGUUUAAAUUACCUGUUUUUAUCCAAAUGUAAAUUAAAUUUCUAGCAUAAAUAGCAGCUUUUAAAACAACAUGCAAUGAUGAAAAUUUUUUCUCUUCCUCGCAAAAUAUGAAAUAUAAAUUUUAAUCAGUCGUUUCGCAAAAGGCAAAUUAUUAAAUAGAUAAUAAUAAAAAUCAUUUUCAUUUUUAAAAUUUUUAAAAUUAUUUCACAAAAAGCUAGUUUUGAAGAUCACCACGCAAUUUAAAAUUUUCCAAUUAAUCGUCACGUCAAGACACGAAGAGUCUCGAAGUGUUUUGGUUUCAGAAAGGGUAGAGAAAACACGAAGAUCCACGAAAAUGAAUAUUUUACGAUCUCCUCGCGUUAUAGACGAUAGUGGUUUCUUAAAUCUAAGAAAAAAGAGAAAAAAUUCUUCGAAAAACCUGGAGACUCGGGAGAGAAAUAACAAUUUUAAUAUUCAAAGUAUCGCGUUCAUUGUUCGAAACAAAAAAAAAAAAAAGGAAGACUCGAUCGAAAAGGACAAGCAGUUCCGUGAGAAAGAGGACGGAUCGAAGAAUGAGAGGGAAUAGAAGAAUUUUCAGGGGAGAAGGAAAGUUGGAUCUUAGUUAUCGAGUUCUCGCCAGUGUUAAGCCAUCUACCUCGAAGAAAACUUCUCAUUCCCCCUCGAAGGAGAUCUCGCGCAGUGAGAUUCCCUCCCUCCUUUACAACGUAAUUACAACGUUCGUCUCGUUUAAAGGGGGCGAUUAACGACGAUCGAAUCGUGAAUUUCGACGAGCUCGGCCAUAAAAGUUUUUUAAAAUACACCUCUCCAUUGUGACGUUUCGAAAUCGAAUUUGCAUAAAGUUUUCAAAGGUGUUUCCGCUCCCGGCGAACUUGGCGAGAUGCAAUUUAUAUUCCUCGGCGAGGAAAUUAAUUCGACCAGGCGGAUGCUUUGAGAAUAGAUUUAACUAUUGCAACGUCGGAUAUAACGUUGCAAGCUUGGAAAACGCGGAAAUUUUAUACAAAUUUUAUCAUUUUUCUCGUGUUUUUAUUUCUCUAUGAUUAUAUUUAUUUCAAUAAUAAUAAUUAUUUUGCGUCUUAUUGACGUGUCGCAGGGUCUUAUUGGAGAGGCCGAGGGAUCUGUUUAAUGGAAAUUGCAAAUGAAUUUCGAAGCUGACUCAACUGGAAUAAAUAAGUGAAACGAGUUUCGUUUCAAACUCUGAACGAUCGAUGCUGCGAUCGUUGUUAAUUAGAAGUCGAGUAAACUUUUAUUCAAGAGAUGUAAAUUGCGAGCUGUGAAUGGAAAUAGAUAUAAGCUCAAGAAGAAGGAAGGAAGAAAGGAAAUGGCGCAAAAAAGGUCGUAAAAUUUCGAAGAGAUAGAGGAACGAAGUGAGAGAAUGAGAGAGAGAGAGAGAGAGAAGAGGGGGGAGCAAGAGCGUGGUCAACGUGGCAGACUUUCAAACGUCUCGCAAGCCUUAUUCGUGUCGACGAACUGGCUCGUUCGAUUCAACUGCGUGUUUCGAGAAAUCCUAACCUACUCUGCGUUUCGUUUCGAGUGGCGUUCAGUUGCCAAUUGUCGGCCCGCGCGAUGAUAGAAAUCGUGGUUUUUGCCAGCCUCGCAGACUUACCUCGGGGAGGACGUGUAUCAAACACGGCGACGUGACGGUUCGCCGACAUUUGACGGCCGCGGGGAGGGCUCUGGAAAGGGUUAAGGUCACGGCUCGACGGUUAUUUCAAGUGUGUGUUCAGAACGGCGGGGACGUGCAUUUCCGCCGCGCACGUACACCGAUGAUUAUUGAUUGCACCUUCGAGCACCUUCCAACAACCGACCGUUAAUUCCGUGUUACAUUUUGAAUACGUAUCGUUUCGAAAAUUUUGUUUUCUUUCAGCGCAAUGCAGGGUAUUUUCAAAUUCGUUCCCUUUUACUUUCUUAAUUUUUUCGUUAAUUUUUAUACGACGACGAAUUUUCGCUUAGUUUCGAUAAUUCUGGUGUAAAUUUUGAAAUCUACUUUGCGAUCUAUCAAUCAUUAAUUUUUACUUCGUUUCUUUGUGUAUAAUUCUGGUAUAAUUUUGAAAUUACAUAUCUACUUGUGAUCUACCAAUUAUUAAUUUUUGCUUCGUGUAAUAACGUAGCUUCGAAAUUGUAUUUUUGUCCCUUUCGAUCAUUUUGUAACAUAAUUUUGAAAUCGAAUCCCUUGUGAAUCUAUCGAUCAUUAAUUUUUGUUUCGUUUCUUCCUGGAAUAAUGUAGCUUUGAAAUUGUACUUUCGUAAUCCAUUAAUCAUUAAUUUUUGCUUCGUUUUUUCGUGUAAUAACGUAGCUUUGAAAUUAUACUUUUGUAAUUCAUUAAUCACCAAUGAUUAAUUUAACCUCAUUUCAUUGCGCGAUGCAAUUUCGAAACUGUAAUUCCUUGUAAUUUGUAUAAUUUUUGAAAAUUACGAAAUCCUUUUUUAAUUCUGUGUACGUAAUGUGAUUCUGGUUCGAGAAACAUGGAACGAAUACGCGAGUAAAAAUAUUAUUCAAAGAGCCAGAAUUUUAAUUUUAUUUAAGCUAGAAAACGAUAGGUCGAGUAAAGGGCAAAGAUGAAUUUCAACCGGGAAGACGGAAUCCUUCCAGUUUAUUUCGUUAUUACUCCUCAUCCCGAACUACCGACAACAAUCGUAAAAAAAUUCACGAGCUCGAACGUUGGAAGACGUUAGUUAAAGAAGAACAUUAAAGAGAUCGUUUCGAAGAAUCGUAAAGAUUACGAGCCUUUCCCUCCUCGCUCGAUGCGAACAAUUUGCCCAAACAGUGGCAACUUCUGCCAAGGGACGAGGUUACUUUCCGAUUCACGUACGCGUAAUUCGAGCAGGCCGCUAUAAAGGUAGAAUUUCACGGGUCGCAAGGACGAAGGGAAGGACGGCGGUGUAACGAGAUACGAAGGAGAGAAGGAGGAGGAGGGAAAGGGCGAAGAGUCGUUUCCGAUCCCUUCCAUUAACGGUCCUAUUUCCUCCCGAUGAAUAAACCCGCGUUUAAUCCAAUUCUUUCAAAACGGUUGGCCGCUUUUGUUUGCUAACCUACUUUACUUCCAGUUUAACGUCCAGUUUUAACCAUUUUUUUUUUCUUUUGCGGAUGAAACUGUACAUCGCUGUAAUACUAGCGUAGAAUCGAACGGUGAAAAAAGAAAAUUGAAAUUUGAAAGUUAACUUUGUGAUUGUUAGGCAAAGAGAGUGCGGUUCGAAAUGCAAAAGACAGGUAUUUUCAAUAUAUCGUCUUGAUUUGUAUGUUUAUAUUAGAAGUGGAUAAAUUUAUAUAUGAAUCAACAAAAAGUAUACAAAAACGUUAAAUAAGGAGUUUGGAUGUAAAAUAAAUCGUACGAGAUAGGGAUUAAAAGAUCCAUACAUUCUCUCUCUUCUAGUUUUUCUUCUUUAUUUUUUUCUUUCUUUUUUUUCUUUUUUUCAAAUUAGAGACACGAUUGAAAAGAUCUUUCGAGUUUAUCCUUUUCUGCUCGUAGCAAGCACGCGUCGUCGUGGCGCCAUGAGAUACACUUAACGAGAUUAGACUUUAAUAAAACAGGCCGCAAUUAGGGAUGAUCCGAUUCGACGGAUCAGAAGCGCACAGGCGACUGGAAACUUUUCCUGGAAAACUGUUCGCCAUAUCUUUUUUCUUCUUCUUCCAUCUUCUUCCUCUCUCGCUUUGUCUUUUAUUCGUCAUCCUCCUUUUUCUACCUUCAUCCAUAUAAUCCUCUUUCUUCCCUCUAUUUUUCUUUCCACUUUUCUUUCCUUUUCCCUUAUCGUCACUCAACACGUCGUCACUCGUGUCUUCAUUUUCAUUUCAACUCUCUUUGCUCCUAAUUUUGUCCAAGAAAAAUUUUCUCUCCGCUUCAAUCCUUCACCUUCCUUUUCACCUAUCCUCUUCCUUCAUCCUCAACCCUUCCCUUCCACCUUCCCACAACCAUUUAACUUUUCAUUCGCUUCGAUAUAAAUUUAUCCAUCCUCGUUCCAUCCAUUUCCCUUCCUCCUUCUUUCGUUUCCCUUAUCUUCGCCCAACACGUCGUCCACCUCGUCCCUUUCAUCCUCCCCUCCCCCACAUCUCCCAGCGCCGUCCCCUUCUCGCUCGGGUCCGCUAUCAGUCAGCGCCCCCCUCCCCGCCUCUCCCGAUUCAUCCAACGCGAUUUCGUCCAACGUUCUCGUCUCGCCGGAUCGAUAGAGCGGAGUCUGCGUCUCCAAUCCUGGCUUACAUAUACCGCGUACUUUAUUAUUAUGCGGUGCACCCGGUAUAUUCCCCGGAUACACACGGCUGUGCCACGAUGUUGCGCCGCGAACCGCGCCCGUUUUUCGGCCAGGGAACGAUCAUCGCGCCGCGCCGCGCAGUGACGGGAACCGGAAGCGUCUUUUCCCGCCAUUCUCUCCUCCCGCGUCCUCCUUCAAAUUUUCAUCAAUAUUUAUUCGAUCUAUUAUUUUUGAUCUAGUAAUCAGAGAAUUUAUUAUUGUUAUUGUUGUUGUUGUUGAGAUUAGAUAGGGAUGGCGAGACUGGUAAUUCGAUUGUUAUUUUAUUUUUAUUAUUUAUUUUGUAUUUUGCUUUGGAGUUUCGUUAACAUGGUUUUAUUCAUUAAUAUCGGAGAUUAACAUUAUUAUUAUUAUUAUUAUUGGUAUACUAUGAUUGUUAUUAUUGUUAUUAUUUUGUGUUCUUUUCGAAAUGUACAUCAAUUGUAAUUUAUUAAGCUCGAUUGUUAUCACUUUUAUAUAAAUGUUUCCCAAUUAUUCGAUA